rnacentral:rRNA from 1 species
UGGACAGCCUUCUGAAAGGAAGAUUAAUACAAGAUGGCAUCAUGAGUCCACAUGUUCACAUGAUUAAAGGUAUUCCGGUAGACGAUGGGGAUGCGUUCCAUUAGAUAGUAGGCGGGGUAACGGCCCACCUAGUCUUCGAUGGAUAGGGGUUCUGAGAGGAAGGUCCCCCACAUUGGAACUGAGACACGGUCCAAACUCCUACGGGAGGCAGCAGUGAGGAAUAUUGGUCAAUGGGCGAGAGCCUGAACCAGCCAAGUAGCGUGAAGGAUGACUGCCCUAUGGGUUGUAAACUUCUUUUAUAAAGGAAUAAAGUCGGGUAUGUAUACCCGUUUGCAUGUACUUUAUGAAUAAGGAUCGGCUAACUCCGUGCCAGCAGCCGCGGUAAUACGGAGGAUCCGAGCGUUAUCCGGAUUUAUUGGGUUUAAAGGGAGCGUAGAUGGAUGUUUAAGUCAGUUGUGAAAGUUUGCGGCUCAACCGUAAAAUUGCAGUUGAUACUGGAUAUCUUGAGUGCAGUUGAGGCAGGCGGAAUUCGUGGUGUAGCGGUGAAAUGCUUAGAUAUCACGAAGAACUCCGAUUGCGAAGGCAGCCUGCUAAGCUGCAACUGACAUUGAGGCUCGAAAGUGUGGGUAUCAAACAGGAUUAGAUACCCUGGUAGUCCACACGGUAAACGAUGAAUACUCGCUGUUUGCGAUAUACUGCAAGCGGCCAAG